AGGAAGAUUUCGGAGCCUCUGCUCCUUGGACACUGAGCUCCAGGGAGACCCUGGUCCUUGGCCCAAGCCCGAAGGUCCUCCCAGUGCUCUGCCACCUUCCUGGGAACCAGCAGAGCGGGCCGCCUUGGCCCCCUUGACCCCCUUGGGGUGGGAGCUCUUGCUUUCUGGAAUGAAGCUGACUGAGAAGCAUAGUGACUUCUCAGCGGCCUUGGGGACGUUCUCUGUCUGAGCCACUGUUAAAGCCCGGAAGCCAGGUUCCUCCAGUGGGGCGCUAGUGUCUUCCCAGGGACAGACGUCUGCCAUAGUGCCCCUUAUUUUAUUUCCUUCCGGAUCUGUGACCUCCCACUGACAGAGCUCUGCUGUCCUGGUACCCCCGCUGCCUGCUCCACAGCGGCUGACUUUGUAGCAGUCUGCACCCAGAGCAUCUCCCUGGGGGACCGGGCCCUCUGAGCCUGUGCCAUCCCAGGGGCCAACUAUGUCCUGUUCUCUGCCGAGUGUCACUGCCGCUGCUGCAAAGUCUCCUUCAGCCCCUGCAGAUCCUGCCUUCAGAAAGAGCACCUCUCCUUGCCCUUGGGACCCUCCUGCCACCCCCUGUGCCGGUGUCCCUUCACCUGCCCCUCCAGGACCUGGCUCCCGAGGGGCUAACCUCUGCUUCCUGGGUGGAGGGCUUCUCUUCCACUUCCCACGGACACACUUCUGCUGCCCCUGCCCCCAUGUGACCUGCAGCCUUGGCCCUGGCUCUGCGUCCCUCAGAAGCGCACGGGGCCAGUUGUGGCGCCACACCCCCACCAUCUCGACUGUCCCUGGGACACGUGGCCCCCAGCUUCCUGCAGUCUGCCAUCUCAGGUGUUUCCUGAACCUGCUGGGGCUCUGGUCUUUCCUGGGCUCUUCCUGUUCCCUCUCGAGAGUCUCCCUUUCCAUCCUGUCUCCAUGCCCCUCUCUCAAGGACUUUCUCUGUGGCCUCCCUGGGACAGAGCUCAGCCUUGGCACUGCUCUCAGCUUCACACACAUCUGGGUCAGGAGCAUCCCAUGGGCACAUUCGGGCAAUGCUGCCCCCCACCACUGCCCAGGGCCUGGGAGCUGGCUUCCAUUUGGUCAGGAUGCUGGCUGUUGGGGUGGGACAGAGAGCCCUCUGGUGCCAUGGUGUCCCAUGGACAGACAGACAGUCCCGCUUUGCUAGUCCCUCCCCCAGCCUCAGUCAUAGAUUCUGCUUUUGAAGCUGGAGCUUUUCCCUGGGUCUCGUGUUCCGGGAAGGAGCCUGUCUUUGGGUCUUGUUUCAGUUCCCCCUUCUGUGUCCCUUCCGCACUCACUUCCCAGGACAAGUCUGAGGCCUUGGGGACUGGAGCAGACCAUUCCCUCAAGUCCUGGUCCUCCCAAGGACAAACAGCUUCCUGCUCUUGGUGGAGUUUUGCCUCCCAUUCUGCUAUGCCUCCUGCUGGCAAGGGAAACCUUCCCUUUUCUAGAGUUUCCUGGUUCCCCAGCUCUUGCCCUAGCCCCUUCCCGGGGGCCCCUUCAUUCUCCUCCCAGGAACAGAUCUUGGCCUUGUCACUGGUGGGUGCUUCCUGUGCUUCCCAGGGACACAUGUCAGCUGGCCUGCAGCCCAGGCGGCCCUGGUCCUGGAGGCCCGCUCUUGGCCCUUCAGUGUCCAGAGUGUCCUUGUGCUGCCAGGAGCCCCCUGGACCCGGGUCUCCCCAGGGAUGGGCCCACUCCCCCUCCAUGGCUGGCCUCCCUGGCCUCGUCUUCCCUGUAGCGUUUGGAGAUCUGAUGCCCUCAGGUCCCCAAGCCCUUUCCUGGCCUGCUCCAGCGCCCACCUCCCAGGGACAGAUCUGUGCCUUGCCAUCUGUGGGGGUGUCCUCCACCUCCCACGGGCAGACCUCGGCUGCCCCACUUCCUGCACUCCCCAACCUCUGGGAAAUAACUCGGGACCUCUCUGGCUCUUGGGGACCUGGCAGUGGGGGUAAGCUGCCAGAGCCCACACUCUCCCAGGGGCAGACUGCUUCCUGCUUUGGGAUCUGCACCUCAGGCUUCUCCCGUCGAGGUGACAUCUUGGAUUCCUGCCUUCCCAGGCAUUUUCUCCUUAGCCUUUUGAGAGUCUCCUCCUUUAGCCGUCUGUCCUGGAGUCCCGUCCUCCGUUCCUUCUUUGACCUUCCAGGGACAGACCUCUGCUUUCCUGGGGACGGGCGCACCUGCCACCUCCCACGGACACACCUCGGCAAUGCUGCUGCCCAGGCUCCCCGAGGGGUCCCGGAAGCCUGUGCUCUCCCAGGGACACAGAGGCUCCGGGUCUGCACCCUGCUCCUGUUCCCUCCAGAAGGCAGCUUUCUUGGAGGCACUCUGCCCUGCCUGAGGGGCCGCCCUCUCUCCUGGGGCACGAGUCCCCUGGUCCGCUUCACCCACCUCCCAAGGGUACAGCUCUGCCCUGGCAGGGUGAGGGGGACCCAGCUUCUGUACCGGGGCUUCUGCCCAAGGCUUCUCUGCCUGCCUUCGGUCCACACUGCCUGCUGCUGAGGACCUGCCCACGGCUCCAGGGUCGGCACCCUCCCAGGGACACGAGGCCUCUUGGCUCCGCACCAGCCUCUCUGGCUUUCUCCGAGCUGUGACAGCUGCCCCUCUGGGCUCUGGCUUGCCUGUGGCUGUCCCCCUGUCUUCCUGGGAGUCACCUCGGUGCUGUCCCGAUGCCGUCCUCUGCAGGGCUCCCUUGCUCACCUCCCAGGGGCAGAUUUGGGCCUUGUUGCUACUGUCCAGCCCACCCGUGUCUGACUUGAUCACUUCCCAGGGACACGCCUCUGCCACCCCCUCGGUCAGCACUACCCAGCAGCAGGAGGCCACUUCUGGGUGGUUCUCGCCGCCCCUCCUGGGCCUUCCUUGGCUUGCUCGGCACUUUUGUCCCCAAACACUUGCCACAGUGUGGCAAGCCCCCUUUCCCUGCUUUCUCCACUUUGCUCUCCCCUGGGCCCUGGGAGAGCUUCCGGCCCUCCAGCCUCUUGCUCCCUCCCCCAUCCUGGUGACAGACAUGGAGCAUCCGGCUGGUGUGGGCAUUCUGCUGGUUCUGCAGGGACUCCUCAUCGUUGCAGGGCACCAGGGCUGCCUGCUUGCUCACCACCUUGGGCCGGCCCAGCCUGGGAGACCGGGAAGCACAGCCAUGGCCGCUCCUGCAGCCCUGUCCUUCUCCCUGUCUGGGCCGCACCCUCGCCACCACCGUCCCUUCUCCCUGUACGUGCUUCAGGGACCGUGUCCAGCGCUUUGAUGGCCAGCCCCAGGCUGCGCAUGGAGCCCUGCUGCACAGGCGUCUUGAGGCUGUGGGACCUCGAGAAUGUCUUGGGCCUGUCCUCAGCCCUGUCAUCUGCUUCCCCCUCCCUCCGGUCGCCCGGCUCCAGCAUCCAUCUCACUGUCCAUGGCCACCCUCUUCCCUACCGCCUCGGAGGGGCCUCCAGAGCUUGCCUCGAGCCAGGGCUGGGGAGUGGCUGCCCAGGGCGCCUUCCUGGACCACAGUUUCUUUCUUGACUGGCAGCUCUGCAUUCUCCCAGGGGCAGAUGUAGACCUUGGGAGCUGGUACCAGAGGCGUAGGGCGGUGCCUACCCGAAUGUCGCCAGGGUCCAGGCUGUGCUCGCUCCAGGCUGAGGCCACGCUGCUGUCCAGGUAGGACCCCAAGCGCCUGUAGGCCUAGCUCAUCCUCAUAUGCCUCAUCCAAGAUCUCCUCGUGAGGUGGUGCCCCCGGCCUCUGGAACUGCCCAGGGUGGUGUAGGGGACAAGGUUCACCACGGCUCCCUGUCCACACCUACUCUCCCUUUCCCUGUGCACGCCCACCUUUACUUUGCCAUGCUUCUCCCCUUUCCUUCCCCCAUCCUCCCCACCCUUCUGUAGCUCAGAGACGGGUGGACCCACCCUCCUGCCCACCAGUCCUUAGCUCAGUACCUGUCUCUGUCACUGCUUCCAAGCACAUCUGCACAAUGCUCCAGGCUUACAGCAGUGCUGAAAGGACCCCUGUGCAGCCCUAGAACUUACUUCCCUGCCCCCAGGCCUGGAUGGUUGCAAGAUAGCUCCCAAAGUCCUUAACUCCGGCUCCUUCACCCCAACUCCUUCUGUCAUCCUCGCGCCCUGACCUGCAGGGGGCGCUGUUACCAAGGGCCCAGGAAGACCUCACCAUAGGGGGAAGAAGAUAAGAGCCAGCGUGGUGGUGACUGUGCUGUGGGUGUGGAAGAAGAAGAGGAGGAGAGUCCAGUCCCAAGGGUGCAGGGGGAGGGAACCAGCAUGAACCUGGAGUGUGUGGGAGGGGUGAUUAGCAGCUGUGGUCUCCCCAGCACUGGGCCCCUGCCGAGGAGGGCCCUCUUCUUCCUGGCCUCCUGGGGAUGGAGGUGCUGCCCCAAGGUUCACGUUAAUCCCCCACCUCCAAGAAGCCUUCCCAGUCCUCAGCACAGAUGUGUGCUUCACAGCUCUGGGAGGCCUCCCUGUGGGCUUAUCUGUCUACACCCACAGGACCAGGUCCCCAUGGACACGCAGCGGGUCUGGUGCUCAAGUGGCUAAGGGGUGAGGAAGAAGGCAGUGAGGAGUGAGGGAGUGGAAAGACAUGUUGGGGGUCCUGGGUUGGGAAUAGGAGGGGACAGCACAAUUCAUAACAGCCAAAUCUUGAAGCAGCCUAUAUGUCCAUCAGCAGAUGAAUGGAUAAAGAAAAUGUGGCAUUUACAACACAGUGGAGUACUGCUGUGCCAUGCAGAAGGAUAAACUUGAGGCAUUUGUAGAGAAAGUGGAUUCAUCUUGAGACCAUAAUGAUAAGGGAAAUAAAUCAGAUACACAAGCUUCAAUAUCACAUGGUUUCUCUUAUAUCAGUAACUCAAAAAUAAAUGAAAAACCAAGUAAAAGAUGGACAAUAAGAAAUAGGGAGCCAGGACUGGGGAUGUAC
rnacentral:lncRNA from 1 species